CUUCCCUGAGAUCUGAUGUGAGAUAGAGACACAUUGAUAAGAUUUGGCUUUGUUGAGGUAGUUGUGCUUAAAGGAGGAGUCUGCAUUUGCUGCAUCCAUUUUUUUAACCCAUUGAUUCUUAAAUCAAAUCAAAUUUAUUUAUAUAGCCCUUCUUACAUCAGUUGAUAUGUCAAAGUGCUGUAAAGAAACCCAGCCUAAAACCCCAAACAGCAAGCAAUGCAGGUGUAGAAGCACGGUGGCUAGGAAAAACUCCCUAGAAAGGCCAAAACCGAGGAAGAAACCAGGCUAUGAGGGGUGGCCAGUCCUCUUCUGGCUGUGCCGGGUGGAGAUUAUAACAGCACAUGGCCUAGAUGUUCAAAUGUUCAUAAAUGACCAGCAUUGUUAAAUAAUAAUAAUCAUAGUAGUUGUCGAGGGUGCAACAAGUCAGUAACACAAGAGUAAGUGUCAGUUGGCUUUUUCAUAGCCGAUCUUUGAGAGUAUCUCUACCGCUCCUGCUGUCUCUAGAGAGUUGAAAACAGCAGGUCUGGGACAGGUAGCACAUCCGGUGAAUAGGUCAGGGUUCCAGCAGGUCUGGGACAACAGUUGGAACUGGAGCAGCAGCACGGCCAGGUGAACUGGGGACAGCAAGGAGUCAUCAAGCCAGGUAGUCCUGAGGCAUGGUCCUAGGGCUCAGGUCCUCCGAGAGAAAGAAAGAAAGAGAAAGAGAGAAUUAGAGAGAGCAUAUUUAAAUUCACACAGGACACCGGAAAAGACAAGAGAAAUACUCCAGAUGUGACAGACUGACCCUAGCCCCCCGACACAUAAACUACUGCAGCAUAAAUACUGGAGGCUGAGACAGGAGGGGUCAGGAGAUACUGUGGCCCCAUCCGAUGAAACCCUCGGACAGGGCCAAACAGGUAGGAUAUAACCCCACCCACUUUGCCAAAGCACAGCCUCCCUUCACCAUUCUUAAAGAAUAUAAAUUAUAAAUGCCUCAUGAGCUUAGUUCAACUGUCGUACCCCAUCACAGCCCAAAAUAUAAACAAAUUUUACUCUGCUGUUUGUAAACAAUGUAAUUGUAAACAAACAAUGUAUAGCCUCAAAACAUGGUUAAGAAUAUAAUUGUAUUAUCAUGGAUGGUCAGCCCUUGCAUCCAUUGCUCUGUCUAUGAAUUUGAAAGUGGUUCUAUUUAUCCAGCCCGAUCCCUCAUCAUUUUACCAUAACAGUGGUGGGGUGCCCCGCAUUGCUUUUGUUUGAACUGCAGAUUGCCCAUUCAACAGAACUCUCUUUAUAUAUCAAAAACGUUUAAAACAAAUCAGUGGUGCUUCUUCUUGUGAAGUCAAACAACAAGGUGGAUUGUAUUCAGCAAGGUUGCUCAAGAUCCAAGGCAAUUUGACGUUUGUCCAGGUACUCACGAUGUCGGG
rnacentral:lncRNA from 1 species